rnacentral:rRNA from 1 species
GAUAUGACAUUUUAUGCCUAUGUGUCUUGACCAAAUUACGUGCCAGCAGUCGCGGUAAUACGUAGAAGACUAGUGUUAUUCAUCUUUAAUUGGUUUAAAGGGUACCUAGACGGUAAAUCAAAGGACUAAUAUACUAGAGUUACAUGUGAGGGAGUUCUAAAGUACUGCUGGUGUAGAGAUGAAAUUCUGUCAUACAUAGGCGAAGGCAUCUCCUUAUGUGAUAACUGACGUUGAGGGACGAAGGCUUUUGUAGCGAACAGGAUUAGUUACCCCAGUAGUCCAAGCAGAAAAUGAUGAAUGUCAUAGAUUAGAUAAAAAGAUUUAUUCUAUAAAUGAAAGUGUAAGCAUUCCACCUCAAGAGUAAUUUGGCAACAUUGGAACUGAAAUCAUUAGACCGUUUCUGAAACCAGUAGUGAAGUAUGUUGUUUAAUUUGAUGAUCCGCAAAGAACCUUACCACAACUUGAAUAUUUAAAGCGUUGCACGGCUGUCUUCAGUUAAUGUCGUGAGACUUUGGUUAGUUCCAUUAAAUUAACGUAAACCCUUACUUUAUUUUUAUAUAAAGUGGUUCCCCGCUAUAUUGGAUAUGAUAACAGGGACUAAGACAAGUCA